rnacentral:rRNA from 1 species
GGUUAAGCGACUAAGCGUACACGGUGGAUGCCCUGGCAGUCAGAGGCGAUGAAGGACGUGCUAAUCUGCGAUAAGCGCCGGUAAGGUGAUAUGAACCGUUAUAACCGGCGAUUUCCGAAUGGGGAAACCCAGUGUGACUCGUCACACUAUCAUUAACUGAAUCCAUAGGUUAAUGAGGCGAACCGGGGGAACUGAAACAUCUAAGUACCCCGAGGAAAAGAAAUCAACCGAGAUUCCCCCAGUAGCGG